UUAAGUUAUUAAGGGCGCACGGUGGAUGCCUUGGCACUAGAAGCCGAUGAAGGACGUUACUAACGACGAUAUGCUUUGGGGAGCUGUAAGUAAGCUUUGAUCCAGAGAUUUCCGAAUGGGGAAACCCAGCAUGAGUUAUGUCAUGUUAUCGAUAUGUGAAUACAUAGCAUAUCAGAAGGCACACCCGGAGAACUGAAACAUCUUAGUACCCGGAGGAAGAGAAAGAAAAUUCGAUUCCCUUAGUAGCGGCGAGCGAAACGGGAAGAGCCCAAACCAACAAGCUUGCUUGUUGGGGUUGUAGGACACUCUAUACGGAGUUACAAAGGACGACAUUAGACGAAUCAUCUGGAAAGAUGAAUCAAAGAAGGUAAUAAUCCUGUAGUCGAAAAUGUUGUCUCUCUUGAGUGGAUCCUGAGUACGACGGAGCACGUGAAAUUCCGUCGGAAUCUGGGAGGACCAUCUCCUAAGGCUAAAUACUCUCUAGUGACCGAUAGUGAACCAGUACCGUGAGGGAAAGGUGAAAAGCACCCCGGAAGGGGAGUGAAAUAGAACCUGAAACCGUGUGCUUACAAGUAGUCAGAGCCCGUUAAUGGGUGAUGGCGUGCCUUUUGUAGAAUGAACCGGCGAGUUACGAUUUGAUGCAAGGUUAAGCAGUAAAUGUGGAGCCGUAGCGAAAGCGAGUCUGAAUAGGGCGUUUAGUAUUUGGUCGUAGACCCGAAACCAGGUGAUCUACCCUUGGUCAGGUUGAAGUUCAGGUAACACUGAAUGGAGGACCGAACCGACUUACGUUGAAAAGUGAGCGGAUGAACUGAGGGUAGCGGAGAAAUUCCAAUCGAACCUGGAGAUAGCUGGUUCUCUCCGAAAUAGCUUUAGGGCUAGCCUCAAGUGAUGAUUAUUGGAGGUAGAGCACUGUUUGGACGAGGGGCCCCUCUCGGGUUACCGAAUUCAGACAAACUCCGAAUGCCAAUUAAUUUAACUUGGGAGUCAGAACAUGGGUGAUAAGGUCCGUGUUCGAAAGGGAAACAGCCCAGACCACCAGCUAAGGUCCCAAAAUAUAUGUUAAGUGGAAAAGGAUGUGGCGUUGCCCAGACAACUAGGAUGUUGGCUUAGAAGCAGCCAUCAUUUAAAGAGUGCGUAAUAGCUCACUAGUCGAGUGACACUGCGCCGAAAAUGUACCGGGGCUAAACAUAUUACCGAAGCUGUGGAUUGUCCUUUGGACAAUGGUAGGAGAGCGUUCUAAGGGCGUUGAAGCAUGAUCGUAAGGACAUGUGGAGCGCUUAGAAGUGAGAAUGCCGGUGUGAGUAGCGAAAGACGGGUGAGAAUCCCGUCCACCGAUUGACUAAGGUUUCCAGAGGAAGGCUCGUCCGCUCUGGGUUAGUCGGGUCCUAAGCUGAGGCCGACAGGCGUAGGCGAUGGAUAACAGGUUGAUAUUCCUGUACCACCUAUAAUCGUUUUAAUCGAUGGGGGGACGCAGUAGGAUAGGCGAAGCGUGCGAUUGGAUUGCACGUCUAAGCAGUAAGGCUGAGUAUUAGGCAAAUCCGGUACUCGUUAAGGCUGAGCUGUGAUGGGGAGAAGACAUUGUGUCUUCGAGUCGUUGAUUUCACACUGCCGAGAAAAGCCUCUAGAUAGAAAAUAGGUGCCCGUACCGCAAACCGACACAGGUAGUCAAGAUGAGAAUUCUAAGGUGAGCGAGCGAACUCUCGUUAAGGAACUCGGCAAAAUGACCCCGUAACUUCGGGAGAAGGGGUGCUCUUUAGGGUUAACGCCCAGAAGAGCCGCAGUGAAUAGGCCCAAGCGACUGUUUAUCAAAAACACAGGUCUCUGCUAAACCGUAAGGUGAUGUAUAGGGGCUGACGCCUGCCCGGUGCUGGAAGGUUAAGAGGAGUGGUUAGCUUCUGCGAAGCUACGAAUCGAAGCCCCAGUAAACGGCGGCCGUAACUAUAACGGUCCUAAGGUAGCGAAAUUCCUUGUCGGGUAAGUUCCGACCCGCACGAAAGGCGUAACGAUUUGGGCACUGUCUCAACGAGAGACUCGGUGAAAUCAUAGUACCUGUGAAGAUGCAGGUUACCCGCGACAGGACGGAAAGACCCCGUGGAGCUUUACUGUAGCCUGAUAUUGAAAUUCGGCACAGCUUGUACAGGAUAGGUAGGAGCCUUUGAAACGUGAGCGCUAGCUUACGUGGAGGCGCUGGUGGGAUACUACCCUAGCUGUGUUGGCUUUCUAACCCGCACCACUUAUCGUGGUGGGAGACAGUGUCAGGCGGGCAGUUUGACUGGGGCGGUCGCCUCCUAAAAGGUAACGGAGGCGCUCAAAGGUUCCCUCAGAAUGGUUGGAAAUCAUUCAUAGAGUGUAAAGGCAUAAGGGAGCUUGACUGCGAGACCUACAAGUCGAGCAGGGUCGAAAGACGGACUUAGUGAUCCGGUGGUUCCGCAUGGAAGGGCCAUCGCUCAACGGAUAAAAGCUACCCCGGGGAUAACAGGCUUAUCUCCCCCAAGAGUUCACAUCGACGGGGAGGUUUGGCACCUCGAUGUCGGCUCAUCGCAUCCUGGGGCUGUAGUCGGUCCCAAGGGUUGGGCUGUUCGCCCAUUAAAGCGGUACGCGAGCUGGGUUCAGAACGUCGUGAGACAGUUCGGUCCCUAUCCGUCGUGGGCGUAGGAAAUUUGAGAGGAGCUGUCCUUAGUACGAGAGGACCGGGAUGGACAUACCUCUGGUGUACCAGUUGUCGUGCCAACGGCAUAGCUGGGUAGCUAUGUGUGGACGGGAUAAGUGCUGAAAGCAUCUAAGCAUGAAGCCCCCCUCAAGAUGAGAUUUCCCAACUUCGGUUAUAAGAUCCCUCAAAGAUGAUGAGGUUAAUAGGUUCGAGGUGGAAGCAUGGUGACAUGUGGAGCUGACGAAUACUAAUCGAUCGAAGACUUAAUC
rnacentral:rRNA from 2 species